UACGUAGGUGGCAAGCGUUGUCCGGAUUUACUGGGUGUAAAGGGCGUGCAGCCGGAGAGACAAGUCAGAUGUGAAAUCCACGGGCUCAACCCGUGAACUGCAUUUGAAACUGUUUCCCUUGAGUGUCGGAGAGGUAAUCGGAAUUCCUUGUGUAGCGGUGAAAUGCGUAGAUAUAAGGAAGAACACCAGUGGCGAAGGCGGGUUACUGGACGAUAACUGACGGUGAGGCGCGAAAGCGUGGGGAGCAAACAGG
rnacentral:rRNA from 1 species